rnacentral:tRNA from 1 species
GCCCGGCUGGCUCAGUUGAUAGAGCAUGCAACUCUUGAUCUCAAGGUUGUGAGUUCAAGCCCCACAUUGGGCA